GCAUUGGUAGUGUAAUGGUUAUCAUCUUAGCCUUCCAAGCUAAGGACCCGGGUUGUGAGUGUCUCAGCAUGGUAUACGACGCCAUUCAGUAUUAACGAAAAGGCAGCGAUUCCCGGCCAAUGCA
rnacentral:tRNA from 1 species